rnacentral:rRNA from 1 species
AUUGAACGCUGGCGGCAGGCCUAACACAUGCAAGUCGAGCGGUAGCACAGAGAGCUUGCUCUCGGGUGACGAGCGGCGGACGGGUGAGUAAUGUCUGGGAAACUGCCUGAUGGAGGGGGAUAACUACUGGAAACGGUAGCUAAUACCGCAUAACGUCGCAAGACCAAAGUGGGGGACCUUCGGGCCUCAUGCCAUCAGAUGUGCCCAGAUGGGAUUAGCUGGUAGGUGGGGUAACGGCUCACCUAGGCGACGAUCCCUAGCUGGUCUGAGAGGAAGACCAGCCACACUUGAAAUGAGACACGGGCGAGACUCCUACGGGGGGCAGCAGUGGGGAAUAUGGCACAAUGCGCGCAAGCCGGAUGCAGCCAUGCCGCGUGUGUGAAGAAGGCCUUCGGGUUGUAAAGCACUUUCAGCGGGGAGGAAGGCGGUGAGGUUAAUAACCUCACUGAUUGACGUUACCCGCAGAAGAAGCACCGGCUAACUCCGUGCCAGCCGCCGCCGUAA